UCUUCUUCGACAUGUUCACUCUCUUUCUUCUAACACCGCGAACGUUUUCUGAUUGUGAUAAGGCUUAUUUACAUGAAACCCGACUAGGACAAAAAAGAUGCUGGUAGUCAAUCGAAGCAGAUCGAGGUGGAGGACGUCUAUAGCAAGGCGGGACGAUGAUUUACGAGUUUGCGUCACUGGAAUUUGUCAGUCGCCGUCCCCGGCCGGCUAUCCGAUCUCACGAUAUCGAUCUUCGUUCGCGGCGUGUCUUCCAAUCGAGAACUAUCGGACGUAAGAAAAACGCCGAUGACGAAAAAAGGACGAGGCGACCUGUUUCAUCCGAGAAAAACUAAUCCAUCUGCCUUCGAGCUUUGUUUCACCGCCGAGCCGAACAAAAGGAACCCUAAACUCAACGCGUUUUCAAGAAUAAAGGUAAAAUGAAACGUUUGUCAAAAUUUGUGGUAUGACAUAUACAGAUUGAAAAUGUUUAAACAUCU